AUUGAACGCUGGCGGCAGGCCUAACACAUGCACGUCGAACGAGUGGCGGACGGGUGAGUAAUGUCUGGGAAACUGCCUGAUGGAGGGGGAUAACUACUGGAACCGGUAGCUACUACCGCCUACCAUCUGAUGUGCCCAGAAGGGGUUUGCUAGUAGGUGUGGUAACGGCUAACCUAGGCGACGAUCCCUAGCUGGUCUGUGAGGAUGACCAUCCACACUGGAACUGAGACACGGUCCAGACUCCUACGGGAGGCAGCAGUGGGGAAUAUUGCACAAUGGGCGCAAGCCUGAUGCAGCCAUGCCGCGUGUAUGAAGAAGGCCUUCGGGUUGUAAAGUACUUUCAGCGGGGAGGCGUUACCCGCAGAAGAAGCACCGGCUAACUCCGUGCCAGCAGCCGCGGUAAGAC
rnacentral:rRNA from 1 species